UGUUAACAGACAUCAUGUGGGGAUAAAUUUACAAGACUAUUGUGGAAAGUUUGAAGUAAUGGAUUGUUAACAAACGUCAAGUUGUGAUCUUUACUUAAUUAUAUGUAAACUAAAUGAUAAAACAAUGUAUUUUUACUUUUCGGAUUAAGAGAUCAAAUGAAGAAGCUAUAGAGCCGAAGCAAGGCAGUAGGAAGAAACAUGGGAGACAAGAGAGGAGUGUCAGAGUCAGUAAUGUAUUGGAAAUAAAGUAAUGAGAGAAAAGCUUUCGGUGAAAAGAAGAAAGAAGAAGACACACACACACGACCGCUUCUUCCUUCAUCACAUGCUUCCGUUCGGUCUCGUCAUCAUACCAUCAUCAUUACAUCGUAUAAAAAUGCUCACGUCACCGUUGGCGGCUUUUGACUUUGUUCUUCUUCUAUAAGAAUAAAGACAUUUUCUUUAUUUAUUUUUUCUGACUAAUCUGAGUCUUUAAGACCACAAAUUAUAGAAAUUUCCAACAAAUUCUUAUAUACGUACCAGAUAUGUCUUUUUAAAGAAUGAACAAGUGAAGCUCAUGAGAGUCGUCUCGUCAAU